GAUGAACGCUGGUGGUAUGCUUAACACAUGCAAGUCGAACGGACUCUUCGGAGUUAGUGGCGGACGGGUGAGUAACGCGUGAGAAUCUGGCUUUGGGUUCGGGACAACCACUGGAAACGGUGGCUAAUACCGGGUGUGCCGAGAGGUAAAAGAGAAAUUGCCUGAAGAUGAGCUCGCGUCUGAUUAGCUAGUUGGUGAGGUAAAGGCUCACCAAGGCAGCGAUCAGUAGCUGGUCUGAGUGGAUGACCAGCCACACUGGGACUGAGACACGGCCCAGACUACUAGGGCGGGCAGUAGUGGCUGAGUCUCAUGCAGUGCCACCACCAUGACGGAAGAAUUCCGGGUGCGAGAAACAGAACCAUGCGUAGUAAACCUCUUCUCUUUGGCAACAACUAAGUGCCGGUACCUAACGAAUGAGCAGCGGCUAACUCCGUG
rnacentral:rRNA from 1 species